AAGUCGUAACAAGGUUUCCGUAGGUGAGUGGACAAGAGCUCCCUUUGCGCUGCGCGUUUCCCCUGCUAACCUUUGUGACCUAGGUGAACCUGCGGAAGGAUCAUUAAAGAGUUAGGGUCUUCUAGGCCCGAUCUCCCAACCCUUUGUUUAUUGAACCUCUGUUGCUUCGGCGGACCCGUCUCACGACCGCCGGAGGACCGCUGAAAGGCGUCCUCUGGCCAGCGUCCGUCGAUAGCCAACCACUUAAACUCUGAAUAAAUCGUGUCAUAUGUCUAAGUAUUUGAUUAAAUUAAAGCAAAA
rnacentral:misc_RNA from 1 species